CCACCACUUGGGGAUAACCUUGCGAAAGUAAGACUAAUACCCAAUGACGUCUCUAGAAGACAUCUGAAAGGGAUUAAAGAUUUAUCGGUGAUGGAUGGGGAUGCGUCUGAUUAGCUUGUUGGCGGGGUAACGGCCCACCAAGGCGACGAUCAGUAGGGGUUCUGAGAGGAAGGUCCCCACAUUGGAACUGAGACACGGUCCAAACUCCUACGGGAGGCAGCAGUGAGGAAUAUUGGUCAAUGGACGAGAGUCUGAACCAGCCAAGUAGCGUGCAGGAAGACGGCCCUAUGGGUUGUAAACUGCUUUUAUAAGGGAAUAAAGUGAGUCUCGUGAGACUUUUUGCAUGUACCUUAUGAAUAAGGACCGGCUAAUUCCGUGCCAGCAGCCGCGGUAAUACGGAAGGUCCGGGCGUUAUCCGGAUUUAUUGGGUUUAAAGGGAGCGUAGGCCGGAGAUUAAGCGUGUUGUGAAAUGUAGACGCUCAACGUCUGCACUGCAGCGCGAACUGGUUUCCUUGAGUACGCACAAAGUGGGCGGAAUUCGUGGUGUAGCGGUGAAAUGCUUAGAUAUCACGAAGAACUCCGAUUGCGAAGGCAGCUCACUGGAGCGCAACUGACGCUGAAGCU
rnacentral:rRNA from 1 species